GUUAAGGUGGCAGAGCUCGGCAAUUGCAAAAGGUCUAAGCCCUUUGAACAGAGGUCCAAAUCCUCUCCUUAACA
rnacentral:tRNA from 1 species